CUGGAAUUCUAGUGAGUUACUGGAGAUAGGCUGCAAGAAGAUACCUAGCAAAACUAUUAGAGAUAUUUGAUUCAGGCUCUUGAAGAAAAAGGAUAGUGUGUAGAGAAGAAGUAUGGCUACAGUUAUGCUGAGAGCCUUGAACAGAAGGAAGAGACUCCAGCUUCUCUUCUGCCAUCCUCUCAUCACUGGACUAAUUCAAUGUGACAAACUUCCUGAGGAUGCCCACUUUGAACAAGGACAGAUGUACCAAUGUCCAAUAUUCCCAUCCCUCCAGCAAGAACUGAAGGAUUUCUUAUGGGUACUUCACUGUCAGGCUACUAAUGACAUCAGCCACAAUCUGAUCUGUUUCUGGAGUGCUGGGAGGAGGAGCAAAGCCCCUCAUUUCUAACAAGUUGGGAACAUGGAAGCCGCUGUCUCCUGCACUACACUUCAAUUAUUAAAGAGAUUAUAAGGUA
rnacentral:lncRNA from 1 species